rnacentral:rRNA from 1 species
CAGCAGCCGCGGUAAUACCGGCGGCCCGAGUGGCGGUCACUAUUAUUGGGCUUAAAGCGUCCGUAGCCGGGUUGGGAAGUCCUCCGGGAAAUCUGGCCGCUUAACGGUCAGAAUGCCGGAGGAUACUCCCAGCCUAGGGGGCGGGAGAGGCCGAGGGGAUUCCCGGAGUAGGGGUGGAAUCCUAUAAUCCCGGGAGGACCACCUGUGGCGAAGGCGCUCGGCUGGAACGCGUCCGACGGUGAGGGACGAAGGCCAGGGGAGCAAACCGGAUUAGAUACCCGGGUAGUCCUGGCUGUAAACGAUGCGGACUUUGUGUCGGACAAGCUAUGAGCUUGUCCGGUGCCGGAGGGAAACCGUUAAGUCCGCCGCCUGGGGAGUACGGCCGCAAGGCUGAAACUUAAAGGAAUUGGCGGG